GAUGAAGAACGCAGCGAAAUGCGAUAAGUAAUGUGAAUUGCAGAAUUCAGUGAAUCAUCGAAUCUUUGAACGCACAUUGCGCCCGCCAGUAUUCUGGCGGGCAUGCCUGUUCGAGCGUCAUUACAACCCUCAGGCCCCCGGGCCUGGCGUUGGGGAUCGGCGGAGCCCCCCGUGGGCACACGCCGUCCCCCAAAUGCAGUGGCGGUCCCGCCGCAGCUUCCAUCGCGUAGUAGCUAACACCUCGCGACUGGAGAGCGGCGCGGCCACGCCGUAAAACACCCAACUCUUCUGAAGUUGACCUCGAAUCAGGUAGGAAUACCCGCUGAACUUAAGCACAUCAAUAAGCGGAGGA
rnacentral:misc_RNA from 1 species